AUCUUGAUUGUUAGCAUCACACCC
rnacentral:siRNA from 1 species